UUGAACGCUGGCGGCAGGCCUAACACCUGCAAGUCGAGCGGAUGAAGGGAGCUUGCUCCUGGAUUCAGCGGCGGACGGGUGAGUAAUGCCUAGGAAUCUGCCUGGUAGUGGGGGAUAACGUCCGGAAACGGGCGCUAAUACCGCAUACGUCCUGAGGGAGAAAGUGGGGGAUCUUCGGACCUCACGCUAUCAGAUGAGCCUAGGUCGGAUUAGCUAGUUGGUGGGGUAAAGGCCUACCAAGGCGACGAUCCGUAACUGGUCUGAGAGGAUGAUCAGUCACACCGGAACUGAGACACGGUCCAGACUCCUACGGGAGGCAGCAGUGGGGAAUAUUGGACAAUGGGCGAAAGCCUGAUCCAGCCAUGCCGCGUGUGUGAAGAAGGUCUUCGGAUUGUAAAGCACUUUAAGUUGGGAGGAAGGGCAGUAAGUUAAUACCUUGCUGUUUUGACGUUACCAACAGAAUAAGCACCGGCUAACUUCGUG
rnacentral:rRNA from 1 species